CCUCAUUUAGCUUAAUUCCUCCCAGAGAGACUCCAAAUACAACCAUACUGGGGGUUAGGGCAUCGCAAGCAUACAGUCCAGAACAUGGAAGAUGUUGUAUCACCUUGCUUUUUACAUUAAAAAUAACUAUGGGACUUGCUUGAUGAUAUUAAAAAGUAACCAAAUUGGAUGUUAUUCUUCAAGACCCGCAAGGUUUCAGCAUGUACUCUAUGUCCCCACAAAUUUGGAAGUGGAUUUUGUGAUUGAGCCUGUGAGACAUUGUGGUGAGGAUGUGAAAGAGAAAGUGGAGCAUCCAUCAAGGCAAAUGUUGGUUGCUUCUUCCUUUGUCUCUCCUACUACAAAGAACAGUAUGGUAGUUACUUAAAAACAAAGGAAUAAAGAGAAAUUAUGAGGGUUUUUGGUUUUUUUU
rnacentral:lncRNA from 1 species